rnacentral:sRNA from 1 species
AAGAAGUGUUGUAAUUUUUUGUGUAUUUAUUUUGUGCAGAGGAACUCAACAAAAGCCCCUGCUCCAGUGCCUCUAUUCAACAUGUACCCAUCCGUUAAAAUAGAGAGACCGGAGAAGUUCGGGAUGCCCCAAUCCAAAUCUCCAUUUCUGAGAAGAUGAACUCCAGAUCACCAUCGAAGAAAGAUGA